rnacentral:lncRNA from 1 species
CAAUCUUAUUUGCAGCUGAGUAUGCCCACAGCAAGACAGAAGAAGAAGAACCCAAUGCAUGUACAGAUGUUACAGCUAUGUACAUUCUCUGGUGAAAAACUAAUUAGUUUUCAAACUGUUCGUUCAGAGUGCUUGUUGCGCUCUCUAAACGAACUGAAAUGAUAAGAUGGCUUUGGCUUCAUGUUGCAGCGAUAUGAAAAUGGUGUCUGUGGAUCUUUUUGUAUGCAAAAAUUUGUAAUAAUUAUUUGAAAUCGUUUUGAGGAUUAUAAGAGUAUGGAAAUAUAUGUGAGAACACAGACUAUUA